UCACUUCAGCAGCAUGUGCACUAAAAUUGGAAUAAUACAGAGAAGAUCAGCGUGGCUGCUAAGCAAGGAUGGCGUGCAAAUUUAUGAAGGGUUCCAUAUUUUU